rnacentral:tRNA from 1 species
GGGGAUUUAGCUCAGUGGUAGAGCACUUGCCUACCAAGCACAAGGCCCUGGGUUCGGUCCUCAGCUCCA